GGAAAGAUCUUACAGGUUCAUGGGUAGGUAGAAUCAAUAUUGUGAAAAUGUCCAUACUGCCAAAAAUGAUAUACAAAUUCAAUGCAAUUUCCAUCACAAUCCCAAUGACAUUCCUUCCUGAGAUGGAGAAAGCAAUCCAACAAUUCAUGGGGAACAACAAAAGACCUAGAAUAGCCAAAGCAAUUCUAGGAAAAAGAAGCAAUCCAG